rnacentral:rRNA from 1 species
GGGUCAGUAGGUUGGUCGUGCCACCGGUACGUAAUUGUCUCACUGAUUCCUCCUUCCUGAAGAACCGUAAUGCCAUUAAUUUGGUGUUGCGGGGAAACAGGACUGUUACUUUGAAAAAAUUAGAGUGUUUAAAGCAAGCUAACGCUUGAAUACAUUUGCAUGUAAUAAUGAAAUAGGACGAUCGAUCCUAUUUUGUUGGUUUCUAGGAUUGACGUA